CCAUGCAAGUCUAAGUAUAAGCAAUUGUACGGCGAAACUGCGAAUGGCUCAUCAAAUCAGUUAUCGUUUAUUUGAUAGUGCCAUACCACUCGGAUAACCGUGGUAAUUCUAGAGCUAAUACGUGCCAAAGCCGCGACUUCGGGAGCGGGGUGUUUAUUAGAUCAAAGACCAACGCCCUUCGGGGCUCGCUGGUGAUUCAUGAUAACCUUUCGAAUCGCACGGCCUUGCGCCGGCGAUGGCUCAUUCAAAUUUCUGCCCUAUCAACUUUCGACUUUAGUGUAGUGGACUAAAGUGGUUGCAACGGGUAACGGAGGGUUAGGGCUCGACCCCGGAGAAGGAGCCUGAGAAACGGCUACUACAUCCAAGGAAGGCAGCAGGCGCGCAAAUUACCCAAUCCCGACACGGGGAGGUAGUGACAAUAAAUACUGAUACAGGGCUCUUUGGGUCUUGUAAUCGGAAUGAGUACAACUUAAAUCCCUUAACGAGGAACAAUUGGAGGGCAAGUCUGGUGCCAGCAGCCGCGGUAAUUCCAGCUCCAAUAGCGUAUAUUAAAGUUGUUGUGGUUAAAAAGCUCGUAGUUGAACCUGGGCCCCGCGCCCGCCGGUCCGCCUCACCGCGUGCACUGGCGCGGCCGGGGCUUUCACCUGGGGAUCCGCAUGCCCUUCGCUGGGCGUGCGAGGAACCAGGACCUUCACUGUGAAAAAAUUAGAGUGUUCAAAGCAGGCCUAUGCUCGGAUACAUUAGCAUGGAAUGAUGAAAUAGGACGCGCGGUUCUAUUUUGUUGGUUAUGGGACCGCCGUAAUGAUUAAUAGGGACGAUCGGGGGCGUCAGUAUUCGGCUGUCAGAGGUGAAAUUCUUGGAUUUGCCGAAGACUAACUACUGCGAAAGCAUUCGCCAAGGGUGUUUUCAUUAAUCAGGAACGAAAGUUAGGGGAUCGAAGACGAUCAGAUACCGUCGUAGUCUUAACCAUAAACCGUGCCGACUAGGGAUCGGGCGAUGUUGCUUA
rnacentral:rRNA from 1 species